GCGGGGUUCGCGGGCCGGGGGCUGCGAGUCUCCCCCCGAGGCCCUUGGCGAAGGCUGCAGCCCUGGGACCCCGCUCGGGAGCGCAGCGUGCGGGGAGCUGCAGCCUCGCAUAACUGUUUGAAAGAGACUUAGGAAACCUCUAGACCAACACAAACCAUUGUUUCAGAGCUGGCAAUAAGUGAUGGAAAAAGAGUCAGUCAAAUAAAACGAGGCCUCUAUUUGCAAUCUUUUGAGCCAUUAGCACGAGUAUUGCUUUCUACUGGAACUGACAUUUUGUUGAUACUUCAUCAGACUGGAUGCUCUGAUGGCAAGGAAGAUUAAAACAGAAAAAACAGAGCUCAUGACUGGAAUGUGUGAGAGGUGCAAACAUUUGAAGUCUUUUUAAGGCUUAAUUUAACAGGAGGAAAGAAUUUUGGUUCAUUCUGCUAUCAAAAUUUGGAGCAGCUUUUGAAGGGUCCAAUCAUGAAACUAGACCCAUGCAAACAGACUCCUAAAUGUAUUGACUAAAAUUUUAGUAUGUGACAAAUGAGGAAUUGGGAGUUAAUUUUUAACCUUGUGUACACUUACAACUUUGUGGUUACACCUUUGCAAUUACUUGAUCUACCAAAUUCUAGGUGAAAACAGCAAUCAACAUGUAUAAAACACUUUCAUAUGAUGCAGGGACUGUCUUUUUCUGUUUUUGUACAGCACCUAGCGCAUUGGCAUCCUGGUCCAUGAUUGGGGUUUCUGGGCAUUACUGCAAUUCAAAUAUAUAUUGUAAAAACCACCAUAACUAAUUUCAAAGUGUUUGAGGUGCUUCAAGAUGGAAAUAUAAACCUAGUUUAAAACAUCACAAAGAGUGCAAAGUUAACAGACAAAAUUAGUGCAGGGUAAUAACAAUGAAACAGUUCUAUAAUCCCAUACCUGGAAAACUGCAGUUUGUUUCUAACAGUGGAUUUGUGAGUUACCAGUUCCUGUUAUUGCUCCGAAAGAAUCUUUUGUAGUGUGAUUAAAAUCAAUGGAAUGUAUUUCUGCCUAUGUGAACAGUAGAUACAGUCUUAAGCCCACGUUUGGCAGUUGUCUUUAAUGGGGUUCUACGUAGGCACAGUUCUGUUCAGGUUCUCAGACUGCAUCCAUCACCAUGACAUUUGAGUAUACUUGAGGACCACAUGGGCUGCCUCUAGUCCAUAAGUGGUA